rnacentral:rRNA from 1 species
GGGCCUACGGGGGGCAGCAGUGAGGAAUAUUGGUCAAUGGGCGGAAGCCUGAACCAGCCAAGUCGCGUGAGGGAAGAAGGCCCUGCGGGUCGCAGACCUCUUUGGACGGGGAGCAAGGCCGCCGACGUGUCGGCGGAAGGAGAGUACCCGUAGAACAAGCAUCGGCUAACUCCGUGCCAGCAGCCGCGGUAAUACGGAGGAUGCGAGCGUUAUCCGGAUUUAUUGGGUUUAAAGGGUGCGUAGGCCGGCUUUUAAGUCAGCUGUGAAAGUCCGCGGCUCAACCGUGGAAUUGCAGUUGAAACUGG